rnacentral:rRNA from 1 species
UUAAGCGACUAAGCGUACACGGUGGAUGCCCUGGCAGUCAGAGGCGAUGAAGGACGUGCUAAUCUGCGAUAAGCGUCGGUGAGGUGAUAUGAACCGUUAUAACCGGCGAUUUCCGAAUGGGGAAACCCAGUGUGUUUCGACACACUAUCAUUAACUGAAUCUAUAGGUUAAUGAGGCGAACCGGGGGAACUGAAACAUCUAAGUACCCCGAGGAAAAGAAAUCAACCGAGAUUCCCCCAGUAGCGGCGAGCGAACGGGGAGCAGCCCAGAGCCUGAAUCAGUGUGUGUGUUAGUGGAAGCGUCUGGAAAGGCGCGCGAUACAGGGUGACAGCCCCGUACACAAAAAUGCACAUGCUGUGAGCUCGAUGAGUAGGGCGGGACACGUGGUAUCCUGUCUGAAUAUGGGGGGACCAUCCUCCAAGGCUAAAUACUCCUGACUGACCGAUAGUGAACCAGUACCGUGAGGGAAAGGCGAAAAGAACCCCGGCGAGGGGAGUGAAAAAGAACCUGAAACCGUGUACGUACAAGCAGUGGGAGCCUCUUUUAUGGGGUGACUGCGUACCUUUUGUAUAAUGGGUCAGCGACUUAUAUUCUGUAGCAAGGUUAACCGAAUAGGGGAGCCGAAGGGAAACCGAGUCUUAACUGGGCGUUAAGUUGCAGGGUAUAGACCCGAAACCCGGUGAUCUAGCCAUGGGCAGGUUGAAGGUUGGGUAACACUAACUGGAGGACCGAACCGACUAAUGUUGAAAAAUUAGCGGAUGACUUGUGGCUGGGGGUGAAAGGCCAAUCAAACCGGGAGAUAGCUGGUUCUCCCCGAAAGCUAUUUAGGUAGCGCCUCGUGAAUUCAUCUCCGGGGGUAGAGCACUGUUUCGGCAAGGGGGUCAUCCCGACUUACCAACCCGAUGCAAACUGCGAAUACCGGAGAAUGUUAUCACGGGAGACACACGGCGGGUGCUAACGUCCGUCGUGAAGAGGGAAACAACCCAGACCGCCAGCUAAGGUCCCAAAGUCAUGGUUAAGUGGGAAACGAUGUGGGAAGGCCCAGACAGCCAGGAUGUUGGCUUAGAAGCAGCCAUCAUUUAAAGAAAGCGUAAUAGCUCACUGGUCGAGUCGGCCUGCGCGGAAGAUGUAACGGGGCUAAACCAUGCACCGAAGCUGCGGCAGCGACACUAUGUGUUGUUGGGUAGGGGAGCGUUCUGUAAGCCUGUGAAGGUGUACUGUGAGGUAUGCUGGAGGUAUCAGAAGUGCGAAUGCUGACAUAAGUAACGAUAAAGCGGGUGAAAAGCCCGCUCGCCGGAAGACCAAGGGUUCCUGUCCAACGUUAAUCGGGGCAGGGUGAGUCGACCCCUAAGGCGAGGCCGAAAGGCGUAGUCGAUGGGAAACAGGUUAAUAUUCCUGUACUUGGUGUUACUGCGAAGGGGGGACGGAGAAGGCUAUGUUGGCCGGGCGACGGUUGUCCCGGUUUAAGCGUGUAGGCUGGUUUUCCAGGCAAAUCCGGAAAAUCAAGGCUGAGGCGUGAUGACGAGGCACUACGGUGCUGAAGCAACAAAUGCCCUGCUUCCAGGAAAAGCCUCUAAGCAUCAGGUAACAUCAAAUCGUACCCCAAACCGACACAGGUGGUCAGGUAGAGAAUACCAAGGCGCUUGAGAGAACUCGGGUGAAGGAACUAGGCAAAAUGGUGCCGUAACUUCGGGAGAAGGCACGCUGAUAUGUAGGUGAAGCGACUUGCUCGUGGAGCUGAAAUCAGUCGAAGAUACCAGCUGGCUGCAACUGUUUAUUAAAAACACAGCACUGUGCAAACACGAAAGUGGACGUAUACGGUGUGACGCCUGCCCGGUGCCGGAAGGUUAAUUGAUGGGGUUAGCGGUAACGCGAAGCUCUUGAUCGAAGCCCCGGUAAACGGCGGCCGUAACUAUAACGGUCCUAAGGUAGCGAAAUUCCUUGUCGGGUAAGUUCCGACCUGCACGAAUGGCGUAAUGAUGGCCAGGCUGUCUCCACCCGAGACUCAGUGAAAUUGAACUCGCUGUGAAGAUGCAGUGUACCCGCGGCAAGACGGAAAGACCCCGUGAACCUUUACUAUAGCUUGACACUGAACAUUGAGCCUUGAUGUGUAGGAUAGGUGGGAGGCUUUGAAGUGUGGACGCCAGUCUGCAUGGAGCCGGCCUUGAAAUACCACCCUUUAAUGUUUGAUGUUCUAACGUUGGCCCCUGAUCGGGGUUGCGGACAGUGUCUGGUGGGUAGUUUGACUGGGGCGGUCUCCUCCUAAAGAGUAACGGAGGAGCACGAAGGUUGGCUAAUCCUGGUCGGACAUCAGGAGGUUAGUGCAAUGGCAUAAGCCAGCUUGACUGCGAGCGUGACGGCGCGAGCAGGUGCGAAAGCAGGUCAUAGUGAUCCGGUGGUUCUGAAUGGAAGGGCCAUCGCUCAACGGAUAAAAGGUACUCCGGGGAUAACAGGCUGAUACCGCCCAAGAGUUCAUAUCGACGGCGGUGUUUGGCACCUCGAUGUCGGCUCAUCACAUCCUGGGGCUGAAGUAGGUCCCAAGGGUAUGGCUGUUCGCCAUUUAAAGUGGUACGCGAGCUGGGUUUAGAACGUCGUGAGACAGUUCGGUCCCUAUCUGCCGUGGGCGCUGGAGAACUGAGGGGGGCUGCUCCUAGUACGAGAGGACCGGAGUGGACGCAUCACUGGUGUUCGGGUUGUCAUGCCAAUGGCACUGCCCGGUAGCUAAAUGCGGAAGAGAUAAGUGCUGAAAGCAUCUAAGCACGAAACUUGCCCCGAGAUGAGUUCUCCCUGAGACUUAGAGUCUCCUGAAGGAACGUUGAAGACGACGACGUUGAUAGGCCGGGUGUGUAAGCGCAGCGAUGCGUUGAGCUAACCGGUACUAAUGAACCGUGAGGCUUAACCUU